rnacentral:lncRNA from 2 species
GUUCUAAGUGAAAAAGAUAAAGAAAUCAAUGAUCUCCAUGCCCUCCUUGCCAAGCUAACAGUGCAUCCUACCAGCGAAGUCGACCUAUCUUUCCUCAACCUCCUAGGUGUUGACACCACACUACAAACCCUCCUCGUGCACUCUCUGGAUACUGAGUUUGAUGAUAUUCACCUCAAGUCAGCAUUUCUUCCUUAUGGAAAGCUACCAUUAGUUGCUAUUGAGGGGCCUAAUGCCGUCGUGAAGCUAGCUGGGCAACAGGAAGCUCAAGAUGUGACUAAUCAACUAGAACUUUUCAAUGAAUUAAAGAACACAUUUUUCUAUGAGUCAUUGCCUGUCAAGAAGUGGUUGAUAAACGAGCUAUUGGCGAGAAUGCCACAUGAUGUGGUCAAAGAAAUUAUGAAAUCAGCUUGCAGAAAUCCAGGAGCUUUUGACUUUUAG